rnacentral:rRNA from 1 species
UACGAAGGGGGCUAGCGUUGUUCGGAAUUACUGGGCGUAAAGCGCGCGCAGGCGGGUCAUCAAGUCAGGGGUGAAAGCCCAGAGCUCAACUCUGGAACUGCCCUUGAAACUGUGAGACUUGAGUAUGAGAGAGGUGAGUGGAAUUCCCAGUGUAGAGGUGAAAUGCGUAGAUAUUGGGAAGAACACCGGUGGCGAAGGCGACUCACUGGCUCAUUACUGACGCUCAGGCGCGACAGCGUGGGGAUCAAACAGG